ACAGCUCAGUAGUAGGGCAUCUGCCUUGCAUGCAGAAGAUUCCAGGUUCAAUUCCCGGCAUCUCUA